UCCGGAUUCUCCCUCUCUCUCACGCCUCUCAUUUUCCUUUUCUUCUUUUCUUUCUUUUUCCUUCCCCACCCGACGCCUAUCUUCUUCUCUUCUCCCUUCUUCCCCUCCCCCGAUUCCGCAGCUCACCCGUCCUCUCUCCAUUUCUUUUUCUCUCUUCUCCCUCCCCACACGCAACACCCAGCCCUUUUCCUUUCCUCUCCAUUUCCUUUCCUCUCCUCUCCUUCCUCCCCGCACACACACACCCAGCCGUGAGAUUUAGAGAGAGUGAUUGACGCCAAGAGAGAGAGAUCGUGAACUUGAGAGGGAGACUUGGAGCUGAUUUUCGGUGGGUGUCGCCGAUGGGCAGUGGUGCUAUUUCCGGCGGCUUCAGGGGAUUUCUGGCGAAAGACUUGUAACCCAGGGAGACCCGGUCCUUCUUGUGCGUCUUCCGGCGAGUUUUCCGGCGGACCUGUGAGCCGAUUUUCGGCCCUUUUUUGGAUCGUGUUAUCAUUGGAAACUUCAAUGGGUCCUUCAAUGUAGAGUUGGAGUCGCGAGUCCAAUGCAGCCAGAUGAUGUCUCUUGGCUGCAGGUACUCGGGUCGUAGUUGAUGAGGUCGUAGACAUGCAUUUGGGAUAUUAUGACCGGAGCUCGCCGCGAUGGUCGUAAUUGCGGGACCAUGGGCGUCCUCAGUUUUAUAAGUUUUGUUGUGGCUUGUGACGCAUGUGUCACUCGUUAUUGCAUAAAGCCAUUCUGUUAUGUAUUUAUAUUGUGGAAAGACUUAAACACAUAGAUAUUAAAUGGCUCUUGUUGUUAUUAAUUUAUGAUAGAUGUUUAGGAUUUGAUUUC